UCAAAUUUGUAAUCUGGCACUUUCAGUGUCCGAGUUGUAAUCUUGAGAAGUGUUUUCCGCGCCGGACCGCAUACAAGUCUGUUGGAAUACAGCGUCAUAGUGGUGAGAACCCCGUAACUGAUGCGGAUGCCCGGUGCUUUGUGAUACACUUUCGAAGAGUCGAGUUGUUUGGGAAUGCAGCUCAAAUUGGGUGGUAAAUUCCAUCUAAAGCUAAAUAUUGGCGAGAGACCGAUAGCGAACAAGUACCGUGAGGGAAAGAUGAAAAGCACUUUGGAAAGAGAGUUAACAGUACGUGAAAUUGUUGGAAGGGAAACGCUUGAGGUCAGACUUGCUAUUUGGAAUUCAGCCGCAAGGUGUACUUUUCAAUUCGCAGGCCAGCAUCAGUUUUCGGGGGUGGAAAAGGGAAGAGAGAAGGUAGCUGUUUCGGCAGUGUUAUAGCUCUUUACUGGAAGAUCCUUGGGGACUGAGGAACGCAG
rnacentral:rRNA from 1 species